AGUGAACGCUGGCGGUAGGCCUAACACAUGCCAGUCGAACGGCAGCACAGUAAGAGCUUGCUCUUACGGGUGGCGAGUGGCGGACGGGUGAGGAAUACAUCGGAAUCUACUUUUUCGUGGGGGAUAACGUAGGGAAACUUACGCUAAUACCGCAUACGACCUACGGGUGAAAGCAGGGGAUCUUCGGACCUUGCGCGAUUGAAUGAGCCGAUGUCGGAUUAGCUAGUUGGCGGGGUAAAGGCCCACCAAGGCGACGAUCCGUAGCUGGUCUGAGAGGAUGAUAAGCCACACUGGAACUGAGACAGGGCCCAGACUACUACGGGAGGCAGCAGUGGGGAAUAUUGGACAAUGGGCGCAAGCCUGAUCCAGCCAUACCGCGUGGGUGAAGAAGGCCUUCGGGUUGUAAAGCCCUUUUGUUGGGAAAGAAAAGCAGCAGGUUAAUACCCCGCUGUUCUGACGGUACCCAAAGAAUAAGCACCGGCUAACUUCGUG
rnacentral:rRNA from 1 species